rnacentral:tRNA from 1 species
GUUUGGGUAGUUUAUCAUUAAAACGUUAGUUUGUGGUGCUAAAGAAAUAAAAGAUUUAUUCUAAACC